rnacentral:rRNA from 1 species
AUAAUGGGUCAGCGACUUAUAUUCUGUAGCAAGGUUAACCGAAUAGGGGAGCCGAAGGGAAACCGAGUCUUAACUGGGCGUUAAGUUGCAGGGUAUAGACCCGAAACCCGGUGAUCUAGCCAUGGGCAGGUUGAAGGUUGGGUAACACUAACUGGAGGACCGAACCGACUAAUGUUGAAAAAUUAGCGGAUGACUUGUGGCUGGGGGUGAAAGGCCAAUCAAACCGGGAGAUAGCUGGUUCUCCCCGAAAGCUAUUUAGGUAGCGCCUCGUGAAUUCAUCUCCGGGGGUAGAGCACUGUUUCGGCAAGGGGGUCAUCCCGACUUACCAACCCGAUGCAAACUGCGAAUACCGGAGAAUGUUAUCACGGGAGACACACGGCGGGUGCUAACGUCCGUCGUGAAGAGGGAAACAACCCAGACCGCCAGCUAAGGUCCCAAAGUCAUGGUUAAGUGGGAAACGAUGUGGGAAGGCCCAGACAGCCAGGAUGUUGGCUUAGAAGCAGCCAUCAUUUAAAGAAAGCGUAAUAGCUCACUGGUCGAGUCGGCCUGCGCGGAAGAUGUAACGGGGCUAAACCAUGCACCGAAGCUGCGGCAGCGACGCUGAUGCGUUGUUGGGUAGGGGAGCGUUCUGUAAGCCUGUGAAGGUGUGCUGUGAGGCAUGCUGGAGGUAUCAGAAGUGCGAAUGCUGACAUAAGUAACGAUAAAGCGGGUGAAAAGCCCGCUCGCCGGAAGACCAAGGGUUCCUGUCCAACGUUAAUCGGGGCAGGGUGAGUCGACCCCUAAGGCGAGGCCGAAAGGCGUAGUCGAUGGGAAACAGGUUAAUAUUCCUGUACUUGGUGUUACUGCGAAGGGGGGACGGAGAAGGCUAUGUUGGCCGGGCGACGGUUGUCCCGGUUUAAGCGUGUAGGCUGGUUUUCCAGGCAAAUCCGGAAAAUCAAGGCUGAGGCGUGAUGACGAGGCACUACGGUGCUGAAGCAACAAAUGCCCUGCUU